CAGGAUGAACGCUAGCUACAGGCUUAACACAUGCAAGUCGAGGGGCAUCAUGGAGUUUGCUUGCAAACUCUGAUGGCGACCGGCGCACGGGUGAGUAACGCGUAUCCAACCUUCCCUAUAGUAGAGGAUAGCCCGGCGAAAGUCGGAUUAAUACUCUAUGUUUUCCGUUGCAGACAUCUAAGAUGGAACAAAGGCUUGCCGCUAUAGGAUGGGGGAUGCGUCUGAUUAGGUAGUCGGCGGGGUAACGGCCCACCGAGCCAUCGAUCAGUAGGGGUUCUGAGAGGAAGGUCCCCCACAUUGGAACUGAGACACGGUCCAAACUCCUACGGGAGGCAGCAGUGAGGAAUAUUGGUCAAUGGGCGAGAGCCUGAACCAGCCAAGUAGCCGUGCAGGACGACGGCCCUAUGGGUUGUAAACUGCUUUUAUGCGGGGAUAAAGUUCACUACGUGUAGUGUUUUGUAGGUACCGCAUGAAUAAGGACCGGCUAAUUCCGUGCCAGCAGCGGC
rnacentral:rRNA from 1 species